UACGUAGGUGGCAAGCGUUGUCCGGAUUUAUUGGGCGUAAAGCGAGCGCAGGCGGUUUCUUAAGUCUGAUGUGAAAGCCCCCGGCUCAACCGGGGAGGGUCAUUGGAAACUGGGAGACUUGAGUGCAGAAGAGGAGAGUGGAAUUCCAUGUGUAGCGGUGAAAUGCGUAGAUAUAUGGAGGACACCAGUGGCGAAGCGGCUCUCUGGUCUGUAACUGACGCUGAGGCUCGAAAGCGUGGGGAGCAACAGGAUUAGAUACC
rnacentral:rRNA from 1 species